rnacentral:rRNA from 1 species
UACAGAGGUCCCAAGCGUUGUUCGGAUUCACUGGGCGUAAAGGGUGCGUAGGUGGCGAGGUAAGUCGGAUGUGAAAGCUCGGAGCUCAACUCCGAAAUGGCAUUGGAAACUUCCUUGCUCGAGGGUUGGAGGGGGGACUGGAAUACUUGGUGUAGCAGUGAAAUGCGUAGAUAUCAAGUGGAACACCAGUGGCGAAGGCGAGUCCCUGGACAACUCCUGACACUGAGGCACGAAAGCUAGGGGAGCAAACAGG